rnacentral:rRNA from 1 species
CAAUAGCGUAUAUUAAAGUUGUUGCGGUUAAAAAGCUCGUAGUUGGAUUUCUGCUGAGGACGACCGGUCCGCCCUCUGGGUGAGUAUCUGGCUUGGCCUUGGCAUCUUCUUGGAGAACGUAGCUGCACUUGACUGUGUGGUGCGGUAUCCAGGACUUUACUUGAGGAAAUUAGAGUGUUUCAAGCAGGCACACGCCUUGAAUACAUUAGCAUGGAAUAAUAAGAUAGGACCUUGGUUCUAUUUUGUUGGUUUUGAGAACCAGAGUAAUGAUUAAUAGGGACAGUUGGGGGCAUUCAUAUUUCAUUGUCAGAGGUGAAAUUCUUGGAUUUAUGAAAGAUGAACUUCUGCGAAAGCAUUUGCCAAGGAUGUUUUCAUUAAUCAAGAACGAAAGUUAGGGGAUCGAAGACGAUUAGAUACC